rnacentral:rRNA from 1 species
AUGACAAGUCCGAACGAUGAACCUCCCUUUCCGGGAGGGGAUUAGUGGCGAACGGGUGAGUAACACGUGGGCAAUCUGCCCUGCACUCUGGGACAAGCCCUGGAAACGGGGUCUAAUACCGGAUAUGACACACGACCGCAUGGUCUGUGUGUGGAAAGCUCCGGCGGUGCAGGAUGAGCCCGCGGCCUAUCAGCUUGUUGGUGGGGUAAUGGCCUACCAAGGCGACGACGGGUAGCCGGCCUGAGAGGGCGACCGGCCACACUGGGACUGAGACACGGCCCAGACUCCUACGGGAGGCAGCAGUGGGGAAUAUUGCACAAUGGGCGAAAGCCUGAUGCAGCGACGCCGCGUGAGGGAUGACGGCCUUCGGGUUGUAAACCUCUUUCAGCAGGGAAGAAGCGCAAGUGACGGUACCUGCAGAAGAAGCGCCGGCUAACUACGUGCCAGCAGCCGCGGUAAUACGUAGGGCGCAAGCGUUGUCCGGAAUUAUUGGGCGUAAAGAGCUCGUAGGCGGCUUGUCACGUCGGAUGUGAAAGCCCGGGGCUUAACCCCGGGUCUGCAUUCGAUACGGGCAGGCUAGAGUUCGGUAGGGGAGAUCGGAAUUCCUGGUGUAGCGGUGAAAUGCGCAGAUAUCAGGAGGAACACCGGUGGCGAAGGCGGAUCUCUGGGCCGAUACUGACGCUGAGGAGCGAAAGCGUGGGGAGCGAACAGGAUUAGAUACCCUGGUAGUCCACGCCGUAAACGUUGGGAACUAGGUGUGGGCGACAUUCCACGUCGUCCGUGCCGCAGCUAACGCAUUAAGUUCCCCGCCUGGGGGAGUACGGCCGCAAGGCUAAAACUCAAAGGAAUUGACGGGGGCCCGCACAAGCAGCGGAGCAUGUGGCUUAAUUCGACGCAACGCGAAGAACCUUACCAAGGCUUGACAUACACCGGAAACGUCUGGAGACAGGCGCCCCCUUGUGGUCGGUGUACAGGUGGUGCAGGGCUGUCGUCACCUCGUGUCGUGAGAAGUUUGGGUUAAUUCCCGCAACAAGGGCAACCCUUGUUUUUUGUUUCCACAAGCCCUUCCGGGGGAUGGGGGAACUCCAGGAGAAUGCGCGGGGUCAACUCGGAGGAAGGUGGGGACGACGUCAAGUCAUCAUGCCCCUUAUGUCUUGGGCUGCACACGUGCUACAAUGGUCGGUACAAUGAGCUGCGAUACCGCGAGGUGGAGCGAAUCUCAAAAAGCCGAUCUCAGUUCGGAUUGGGGUCUGCAACUCGACCCCAUGAAGUUGGAGUUGCUAGUAAUCGCAGAUCAGCAUUGCUGCGGUGAAUACGUUCCCGGGCCUUGUACACACCGCCCGUCACGUCACGAAAGUCGGUAACACCCGAAGCCGGUGGCCCAACCCCUUGUGGGAGGGAAUCGUCGAAGGUGGGACUGGCGAUUGGGAC